rnacentral:misc_RNA from 1 species
GGUUUUCACAAAGAUUUGCAUCUGAUCACAAAAUAACAAAACAUUAAUAUUCAAACCCAAAAUAUCAGAGAUCCCGCAUAUCAUUUCCACAUUAUCCAAUAAAUAGCUUAGCACCAAUGCAACCAAAGCAAAAACAACGACCAAACAAAUCCUCAAGACCGAGAUUGAAACCACAAACUUCAUAAGAUCAAUCACAGGAACAAGGUCAAAUGAAAAUAAGGUAUAAAUUUAUAUCAAUCAAUUGCAAUGAUAUAGCAUAAAAUGCUGCAAGAAUUUACAUAUGCCAUUAAUAUAAUAAUCACUUCGACACAUGAUCAAAUAAAACAGGUUGAAGGC